CUCGUUUAGAUUGAAGGAGCUUGCUCCUGAUUGAUAAACAUUUGAGUGAGUGGCGGACGGGUGAGUAACACGUGGGUAACCUGCCCUAAAGUGGGGGAUAACAUUUGGAAACAGAUGCUAAUACCGCAUAAAACCUAACACCGCAUGGUGUAGGGUUGAAAGAUGGUUUCGGCUAUCACUUUAGGAUGGACCCGCGGUGCAUUAGUUAGUUGGUGAGGUAAAGGCUCACCAAGACCGUGAUGCAUAGCCGACCUGAGAGGGUAAUCGGCCACACUGGGACUGAGACACGGCCCAGACUCCUACGGGAGGCAGCAGUAGGGAAUCUUCCACAAUGGACGAAAGUCUGAUGGAGCAACGCCGCGUGAGUGAAGAAGGUUUUCGGAUCGUAAAACUCUGUUGUUGGAGAAGAAUGUAUCUGAUAGUAACUGAUCAGGUAGUGACGGUAUCCAACCAGAAAGCCACGGCUAACUACGUG
rnacentral:rRNA from 1 species